AACGAACGCUGGCGGCAGGCCUAACACAUGCAAGUCGAGCGCAGUCCUUCGGGACCGAGCGGCGGACGGGUUAGUAACGCGUGGGAACGUACCCUUUAGUGCGGAAUAACCAAGGGAAACUUUGGCUAAUACCGCAUACGCCCUUCGGGGGAAAGAUUUAACGCUAAAGGAUCGGCCCGCGCCUGAUCAGGUUGUUGGUGGGGUAAAAGCCUACCAAGCCGACGAUCAGUAGCUGGUCUGAGAGGAUGAUCAGCCACACUGGGACUGAGACACGGCCCAG
rnacentral:rRNA from 1 species